CCAAUAGCGUAUAUUAAAGUUGUUGCAGUUAAAAAGCUCGUAGUUGAAUUUCGGGAUCAAUAUGCCGGUCAUGCCUUGGUAUGCACUGGUAUCUUUGAUUUCUUCCUUCUGACGAACUAUGAUGUCAUUAAUUUGGUGUCAUAGGGAAUCAGGACUGUUACUUUGAAAAAAUUAGAGUGUUUAAAGCAGGCUCACGCUUGAAUACAUUAGCAUGGAAUAA
rnacentral:rRNA from 1 species